rnacentral:tRNA from 1 species
UGUAGUUCAGUUGGUAGAAUACUUGCCUGGCAUGUAAGGAGCCCUGGGUUUGAGCCCUGGCA